UAUUAUCGUUGCAAAUACGAG
ensembl:piRNA 21ur-11190 ncRNA